CCGUUUCUCAGUCCCACGUUGGUUCG
rnacentral:piRNA from 1 species